rnacentral:rRNA from 1 species
GUGAGGAAUAUUGGUCAAUGGGCGCAAGCCUGAACCAGCCAUCCCGCGUGCAGGAAGACGGCGCUAUGCGUUGUAAACUGCUUUUCCAGGGAGAGAAACUUGCGCACGUGUUGCGCAAUUGACGGUACCCUGGGAAUAAGCAUCGGCUAACUCCGUGCCAGCAGCCGCGGUAAUACGGAGGAUGCGAGCGUUCUCCGGAUUCAUUGGGUUUAAAGGGUGCGUAGGCGGACUAUUAAGUCAGUGGUGAAAUCCUGCAGCUUAACUGCAGAACUGCCAUUGAUACUGAUAGCCUUGAGUUUGGUUAAGGUAGGCGGAAUGUGUAAUGUAGCGGUGAAAUGCUUAGAUAUUACACAGAACACCAAUUGCGUAGGCAGCUUACUGAGCCGACACUGACGCUGAGGCACGAAAGCGUGGGGAUCGAACAGGAUUAGAAACCCCUGUAGUCC